rnacentral:tRNA from 1 species
UGGGUUGUGGCUCAGUGGUAGAGCGCUCACCUAGCAUGUGUGAGGCCCUGGGUUCCAUCCUCAGCACCACAU